GACGAACGCUGGCGGCGUGCUUAACACAUGCAAGUCGAACGGACAGGCCCUGCUUUUGUGGGGUGCUCGAGUGGCGAACGGGUGAGUAACACGUGUGUAUCCUGUCCCUGUCUUUGGGAUAUCAUCAGGAAACUGGGGCUCAUACCGGGUAGGAGCUACUGCUGCACGGUGGGGGAUGGAAAGUUUCGGCGGUGGGGGAUGGACUAGAGGCUUAUCCGCUAGAUGGUGGAGUAGGGGCUUACGAAGGGUGUGAGGGGUAGCCGGCCUGAGAGGGUGACCGGCGACAAGGGGACUGAGGGACGGCCCAGAAGCCUACGUGAGGCAGCGGGGGGAAGUAUUGCACAAUGGGCGGAAGCCAGAGGCAGCAACGCCGGGUGCGGGAUGACGGCCUUCGGGGGGUAAACCGCUUUCGCCUGUGACGAGGCGUGAGUGACGGUAAUGGGUAAAGAAGCACCGGCUAACUACGUG
rnacentral:rRNA from 1 species